UACAGAGGCCCCGAGCAUUAUCCGGAAUCACUGGGCGUAAAGGGUGUGUAGGCGGUCGUAUUAGUCUUUCGUGAAAGCUUCUUGGCUUAACCAAGAAAACGCGGGAGAAACGGUACGACUUAGAGGUUGCGAGAGGUAUAGGGAACUCAUGGUGUAGGGGUGAAAUCCGUUGAUAUCAUGGGGAACACCAAAAGCGAAGGCACUAUACUGGCGCAUACCUGACGCUGAAACACGAAAGCGUGGGAAUCGAACGGG
rnacentral:rRNA from 1 species